CCGUUUAGAACAAAGCUCGCGCGCGAUCGAGUAUCAGGAGUACCGAAUUGAGUAACGGGCGAUAGUUUCAAUAAAUGAGAAAACCUAGAAACUUUUGUGUUACCUUAGGUGCGAAGAAUAUUUAACAUAUUAAUAUAUUCACCUUAUUAACGUAUUGCUUCUUAACACUCGAGAGGUAUAUUGCGCAAGGACGAUUCGCCCAGGAAGUCGCUGAAGAGAAUGAAAACGGACGAUGAAGCGUAAGCGCCGCAAAGGGCUGUUAUUAAGGACUAAUGGAUAUCUCCUUUGCGGCGCGCGACAAUCGAUGUGUAAAGUGAGACGUCGCCCCGAACGAUUUAUCAACCGGAUGUAAAUGAUGAAAAUUCCUCGCCCGAGAGCGACGGAAGGAAAGGCGCCUCCCUUCCGCUUUAAACUUCUUUAACGUGAACACGUUCAUGACAGCCGUAAUGGUAGCAGUAAAAGCCAGGACAAAGGAAAAAUUACUUGUAAAUGGCCAACACUUGGAACAACCGCUGGAAAUAAUUCAUCCUAGUGUUCGAAAUGGCUCAUUUGCGCGGGCACCGAUUUAUCGAAAAGAAUUAUUUGCUUUUACACACAAAAGCAUCCGAAGUUUGUCGAUCUAAUUUCCCGGACACCCUGUAUAAACGCAACGCGUAAUUUAUUCGACGGGCACGAGCAUUUUUUCGAACGAGGACGCCGAUUCGACUGCUUUUUUUUUCUCUCCGUGCGGAAAUAACUCGGAGUGUCGCUCCAAGUGCACCGGCAGGUGACGCCUUCGCCAGUGGAGAAGAGGCGAAGAUACUCCCAUUCUUGCACGAGGCGCGAGAAUUCGCCGACGAUGACAGUAACGGUGACAUAAUUCCGUGCACACGCGUCUGUAUUCCUCUUCAGGAUGAGUCUUAUGCAAGGCUCGCCAGACGGUGAGAGAGAGUUCGGCCAAGUUCGCGUAAACAAGGAACGUUAAAUAAACAUGAUAAUCCACGUUCGGCGCGAUGAAGUAAGCUCGCUUUGUUAUCACCCAACAGACCGGGAAUUAGCGCAGUGACGUUCCCCGGUACCCCCGGAGUACCCUUGCUCACUGUCUGACCUGGAACGUUGGAGAAGGUCGUCCUUGCCUCGUCAGGAACAUCGUAGCGCACGCCUUUAUUAACGAACGCAUUCGUCCUCGAGACAUGCUAGAACGAAACGUCGUAAAAUGAUACACCGCCGUCUCGCGAUGUUUAUUUCUCUCUGGGUUAUCGCGAUGUCUCGAUGUUAAGAAUCCUCCGGAGAGAGAGAGAGAGAGAGAGACGUGUGUGUGUUUGGCUUCUUCCUCGUGAAAAAGGUCGCCAUUUGCAUCAACACCAACUAACGGUAACAUUACGUCAAUAUUAUAGUCUGCCGCUCAACAAUGUAAGUAGCGAUGUAACGUGCGUUGCGUGUCACAUUGUUGAGUUAGGAAAUUGUAACAUCGAUCGAUGGGAUGUUGCUUUCGAUAUUUACUGGAAUCUACACACAGGAGAAAAUUAGCAUCGAUUCUUAUGUUCUUAUACGUAAACAAGAAUAUAUAAUUUUAUAUGAAGAUAAAAUUUGGUUCAGUUAAUUGGCGUUCACCGUGAUAUAAAGUAUUUAACUCGUAGUUUGGAUUAAUAUGAACAACGUCUACCAUUUUGCAAACAAAAUUCCGUAUGUAUAAAGGCUUCUUUAAUUAGUAACUCAAAAAUCCGCGUGUUUAUUUGUCGCAAAAUGGUGAAAUAUUUGUUUUCGUUCGGAACAACCUAAUCUACAAGUAUAUGACAGCUAUUGUACUCAACGACAGGUUCAAAAUUCGAGGUUCAAUAUACCGAUGUUUGUCCUUCGUAGAUUUAUUUCCAACGUAUCGUGAACGUGAGACUUCGGGUCGUUCCUUUCCCUGAAGAUAUGAACUGACGUUUUCACGAAACUUCGUAAGCAAAUCGCACCAGAACUCAUUUCGGCAUUUCUUUACACCACGGAAGCCAAAAAUAAUCAUAUCGCAGGAUUUCUUUGCAUAAUCAUUAUUUAUAUAAUCUUUUUAUAAAUUGAUCGUGUUGCGUUAUAUUUUAUUGUGAUACUUAGUUGACUCCGAUGUAUGAAGCAUGUAUCUCGCUGUGGUGAUAGUCUUUCAUGUUAUAAAUCUAAAUAGCAGCGUCUGUAAUGUCAAUAUUCGAGCAAACAUGAUAACGUAUUAAUAGCAUCAAAUGACAUAUUAAUGACGUUUUAAUAACGUCGCAGAUGUCGUUAAUACAUCAUCACGUUUGGGAUUGUAAUCUCAUUUUCUGCCAUUUUAAAGACACUCUUGAGAAGAGCUCGAAGAAUUGCUGAAGAUAAGAAAGUUGGUAUUUAAAUGAUGCGUCCGUAAGUGAUGAUAUCCAAACAAACAUUUUGUUUGAGUCAAUUAAGCGUCAAUUCUCCGUGCACGUGGUGCGAAUUUUUACAAAUUGUGCCGAAAGAUAAUCGCGCAACGAUGCGUCUUUCUCUAAUUGGAAGAGUAAUCGAUAUUUUCGUUAUUGCAUUUUUCGAAUCUUACAUAUGUGUCGGAUUAAUCUGUAAAGUGGUUUCGAAGAGAAAAAAUAUAUGAUUUUCAGAUAAUAGAUAUUUUCCGAGGCGUUGCGCAGGACGAAAAUCGAGCAGAUAGCGGAGGACCGAAUGCUCAUUUCAAAAGACCGGUUUUUAAUGUCUAUUGCGUCAGGACUCUUGGAAUAAGUUGGGGGAGCCGAAAUCAGAAUAAUAGUUUCGACGCAACUAUUUGGCUCCUAAGAGUAAAUAUGUGGGUGUCGAAAAACUGGCGAGUUUUACCGCUGCCAGUGUCUUCAAUAAAGUGCACGAUGCUAUUCUGAUAAUGAUGGUCGUGGAUGUAAAAAUCGGGCGAUAAACAAAAGCCUAAGGAAGGGAGAAAACCAGUUCCGCUGCAAGAUUUUCGUCAGAGAAGCAGAAAGAAGAUAGAGAGGAACAACAAGCCUUACGUGAUAUAUGUACGAAGAAGUAGAAACUACUUUACUUUAUAGUCUUGGAAUAGCGGAUUAACGAUUGGAAAAAAACAAGAAAAGAUUUGGAUUACACAGGCCGACAAAACAUUUUACCAGAAACCGGAAUAUACUAUCCUGAAGGUUUUUGACUCGCUGAAUUCAAAUCUGGCCUCGGAAAUGCUCGUUUGGCUCAGGUUUCCGAAAUGUUAUAAUCUAAAAGUGCAAA